rnacentral:tRNA from 2 species
GGAGGAGUGGCCGAGCGGUCGAAGGCAGCGGUCUUGAAAACCGCCGAGCGCAAGCUCCGGGGGUUCGAAUCCCUCCUCCUCCG